rnacentral:lncRNA from 1 species
ACCUUAUUCCACCCCUACCUAGGAGGUGGCUAAAUCAUUAUUCCAUCAAACGAAAAAGUAACCCAUUUAAUUCAUUUCUAAUAUACCCUUAACCAUAUAAUAAUAUAAUAUAAUACUUGUAUAAUAUAUUAUAAUAAUAUAUAAUAAUAUAAUAUAUUAUAUAUUAAUAUUUAUAAUAUAUUAGUACUAUAUUAUUAUAUAUAA